AAGGAAGCCAUCUUACACGAAUAAUAAGUGAGGUUCACAUUAAAACUGGUUGUAAACAAACGCAGACAUGUUGGACGUACCAAAACCGGAGUUUAUUGCUCUCAAGUACAACUUUUCAUCAAAAAAUCGUAAAGUGUUCUUGACUACAAAGGUUUCAUUUCCCCCGAGUUUCAAAGAUUUUUCAGCGAGUCAACAGAGUGCCCGAUUUGCGGGAAGUUCAUGUCCCACCUGAGGCAACACCUGACGGCACGUCAUAAAGUAGGAAACUUUGCGGAGAAAUGUCUGCUCAUGAACUGGUCCAGUGGACGGUGAGUCAAAGUCAUAGUUGAGUGCUCAACUGCUGUUAUUAUUCUUUAUAUAUUUAUUUUUCUUUAUUUAAACUUUCAUUCCACUACAGCACUCGCUGCAUUGUCUGCAAGAAAUGCAUUCUGUAGUUUCAGAUGUAAUUAUUUCUACCC
rnacentral:lncRNA from 1 species